rnacentral:rRNA from 1 species
GUGGAUGGGUUAGGUGCUGGCACUCUUUGCCGCCAGUCUCGAGUUCGCUGGUGGUUGGUUCGGGUAUCGGCGGCGGCGGCGGCGGUCCCUGGGGAGGGGGGAAGGAAAGGGGGUGCUCCACGUAAAUAUGCGAGCGUGUGGAAGGACUGUGAAGGACAUUGAGGGCGAAAGUCGAGUGAGGCUAGUUAGAGCUAAACGGUCGGGAGGCGCUGCGGCCGUCCAGCGACAACUCGGACUGAUGAGGGGCAUCGCCUGUACCCUAGCUGCCGCGAGCCACCACGCCGAGGCCGCGCGCGGCCUAACCGGGGGUUCUCACCUCAGGAACCUAGAUGAAAGUUCGGUACACCACCAAAGUUCGAGUUUUGUUGAUGAUUCCAACCUGCGAGAAGUCAAACACACUCCCAUAGGUAACGAAGAAGUGGUGUUUUUGUCAUGAGAGGAUUCUGUAGUCGUCAAUUUAGUCCCCUCCUUCACGCGUAACGCCACGAUCCUCGGUCGCCAAUAUGGCCCCGACUCUAACAAGCCGAAGAUCGUUUGGUGGGAGUCAAGGCAUAGUGUCACUACUGGCGUCUGUCUUUUCGACCACUUGUCAAACCUAGACAUAAAGGAGUGAACUAUUGUGUUCUGGACGGUUUAAAUCAACGCUAAUUUCUACGUCUAAAAAGUCUACAACUACGACAAAAAACAACGAACGGUGUACCUUGUUGUGUCCUUUAAUAAUUUCCGAAUGGGGUUGUUGACUUCUAACAACUAGAGAGACGCCUAAAGGCUAACGCAUUGUAGUUACUCAUACGACUCACCAUACCGGUACGAGUAUCCCGUGGUCUUGAAGUCCUUCUCCGACAAAUACCAAACUGCCUCCAAGAAGCUCUACUUUAUUCUUUACGUGCCGAACAACGGUUGGGCCCUACAAUAGGGUGCAGAUAAGUCGAGGGAGAACAAGGAGAUUAUUUCCGUUUUGACUAGUUCGACUCGUUAUAUUAUUAACUACGUUUUAGACCCCAAUGGCCCCGUCCUGCACCUCGAUUCCUUCGUUUAGACAUGUGGCUCUAUCGACUUCCGUAAGUACGAAUACCUUAUUUUCCGGUGGCAGUACAAGGACUCCAACUUGUUCCUAACAGUCUCCGACGACUUAGGUUUCAAUGAUAGUCGAAGUGAGGUUUAGAAUAGACGUACUUUGCACCCUACGUUAGAUGAUACAAACAACUUUACCGUGGACCUCACUGACAGUCACUAAACAUAGUCGUAGAGUUCAGAUGAAUACUCCCACUUCUUAAACAGUUCGACAAUUUACCGUCGUUACAAGGAGUGUGUGCGGUACAACAACCUAGUUUAAUGACGAAGUACUUACAGAAGCUCCUGUCUUAAGGACCUUCCCGUUAGUAGUAGAGACAGUAUCUGUUAGAACAUUUCCCUCGUAGACCGGUCCGGCACGUCUUGGAGUUAGACUACUACCCUGACGGACUCUUGUACCCCGACGUUAUAGUCGGGGAUAAAGGAACUAUACAACACGGAAACAACACGAGAAAGAGCUACUACGAAACCUCAAUUCGUGGGUAGAGACAAAAGGCAACUCUUCGUUUCUCGACUUACAGCCUCACAUUGGUUUGAGCGAGUUGUCGUUUUGAACCAAACACGACCACAUCAUAAAUCUCUCCUCGUUGUUAAUCGUCAACUUAUUCUCAUACUUGACUCACCGAACCACAUUACUUUCAGGUUUCCGAUAAUAUAGGAUGUCACCUAACAACAGUACUCUAGUUAUUUCGUCACAUUUUGGGCUAAGUCUCUGUAGUUGGUAACGACAGUCGUAACCUAUUAUCAAUCUUCACACAAUGAAAAUUUAUAAUUUCCUAUUUAAUCAAAAGUUCAAUAAACAGUUUAAAAUAGAACACACUGCACUGGUCUAGGAUUUGAAAUGGUGUUAUUACG